GGUCACGGGUGACCCAUAACCCAAAAAUACGUUUAAGUAAAUGUCUACUUCAUUUUUUAUGUAAUUUUUACCAUGAAUACCCAGUGGCCCAUCUAUGGAACACAAGGGAAGCAAUUAUUAUGUUACAGUUUUCUUAUUACUGAAUGAUAUCCCCUUUUGCAUAUGGCUACCUCCAUGCGAAGUUGGAAUCUCAGUAUACGACCGAAUUAAAUUAUUUUUUUACUGCUUUAUACAAGAAUAAUGUCAGCUUCAUUCCCUAAGAAAUUCACUGCUCAAGAAGUGCUAGAUAUUUUAGAAGUAAUUGACUACAAUGAUUCAACUGAUGAUGAGGACUAUGAGCAAGAACCUGAUAAGGAAACAGAACGCAAGACCUCAAUUCUUCCGAAUCAUCUUCUGAUUUAGAAGAGACAGAACCCUUGCCAUUUACUUAUAGUGCCUCUUUAAAAUUAAAAUAAGGUGGCAGGAU